GGGAAUCUGCCUGGGUUUGCUUGUCAGAUAAAUCCUUCCGGAUCACGGGGCUGCCACGGGAGUGGCUUCCACCACACCAUCUCCUGUCCUGGGUGUUGUGGGGAGAUGAGUCUGGAUCCUACCUGGAUUCUGCCUCCAAGCAGGCUAUUGCAAAAAUCUAAUGACAAUAUGUUCACGAGAAGGAUUUGAAGACUGUAAAAGUCUGUGAAGGAAACAUGUGGCCGUGUUGUGCUUGAAGAUCAAACUCUGAGGAAUGAAGGACAAAAACUUGGCAGAGCCUGAUGCUGUGGGAGUUUUGAGUGAUUUCUCUGCAGCUGGGGGAAGAAAGCUCCCAUGUUGUGAGGCAUAAAAAGGCCCACAUGUCAAAGAACUACAGCCUGCCAGCGACCACGUGACUGAGCUUGGAGGUGGAUCAUCCCUCAGGGAAGCCUUGAGAUGACAGCAGGCUGGGAGGGAUGCUCAGCCAGGACCAUGCAGCCAUGCUGCUCCGGCAUUCCUGAACCACAGAUGCUGUGAGAUGACAUUUUUUUCCCUCUACAUGUGUCAGCACUUCCCAGAUGUGAUGAUGGUAUUUGAAAGAGCAUGAUCUGGAAAUCCUGAGCCGUGCUGCCACAAGAAAAUGGAUGCACAGAGGACAAGGCCAGGCAGCGCAGGUCUUCAUUACACUGAGACUUUGCCUGAGUCCCAUGGUGCCCCAGUGCCCUGGCCUGGGCACAUCAGCACUGCCUUCUGUCCAGGCCCCAUGAGUCUCAGAUGGUGGACCCUGGUGACGGAAGGCUGGGUAGAUGCCAUGGACCUUUCCAUAGGUCAUAGCCACAGCUGAGCACUUGGUGUCUUACUACUCAGUGGAGAGGAGAAGUGUGCUGAAGGGUGGUAAGAGAGUGUGUCCAGGGGCCCAGACCAGAGUGGGCCAUGCCUCAUCUAGAGAGCAAGCAUCUUCCAGAAAGGAGAGCCCUUGGGUCCUUUUACAGAAGCAAUCAGAAAAACAUCGGGAAUCUCCCAGAAGACUGAAUGUAAGAGGACGAAGGGUCCGGGCACAGUGGCUCAUUCCUGUAAUCCCAGAACUUUGGGAGACUGAGGUGAGUGGAUCACUUGAGGUCAGGAGUUCGAGACCAGCCUGAACAACAUGGUGAAACCCCAUCUCUACUAAAAAUACAAUAUUAGCUGGGCAUAGUGGCGCAUGCCUGUAAUCCCAGCUACUCAGGAGGCUGAGGCAGGAGAAUCGCUUGAACCCAGGAGGAGGAGGUUGCAGUGAGCCGAGAUUGCAUCACCGCAUUCCAGCCUGGGCAACAAAGCAAGACUUCAUCACACACACACACACACACACACACACACACACACACACACAAACGAAACAACAACAACAACAAAACCAAAAAAAAAGAAAAAGAAAAGUCAGGUCUGGGGAGCUGAAGUGGCUGACAGAGGAGGAGGAGAAUUAUCUGCAGUGCUUCCCAAAUUCAGGACACUCACCCAGUGCAUCUCAAAGCCUGAGUCCUCAUAUCUCUUCUGGGGAAAGGAGAGAAAGAAUUGCUGGUGGAUUCUGCUGUGUUUUGCCUUGAGGUCAUUAUGGGCAAAAUUUCACACCUAUAAGGCCCAUUGCUGAGGAGGGAGUGGACCUCUGUGAUUCCUCUUGAGCAAAGGAAUAAACAUCCUAAGUUUGUGAGUAAAGCGUCCAUCACAUUCUCUGGAGCCAUCACUGCUGUUUGGAGAGGUGGGAGUUGAGAGAGGCCAUUACUGGGCAGAACCUGAGUUUUCACUUGAAGAUUCGUCCCUUAUGAAUCCAGCCCCUAGAAAACAGAGCAGCCAGCAGGCCUGUGACAUUUCAGUUUGGCUAUAAAAACUACAGGUUAAUAAUAAAACUCUUUUCUGGUUUUAAAAUUAUAUUCACGUGCAUCAGCUCACAUUUCUGAAAAAGCACUUAGGACAGCACCUGAGGCAACUUAAGCAUCAUAUAAAUGUUGGUUUUGUGGUCAUUCUUGUUUUAUAAUUAUUAUUAUUUGUAUCCUCACCCUGGUAGGCAGACAAGGCCAUAGUCAAUAUUAUAGUCGUUUUAUGGAUAAUAAAAAAUGGGAGAGGAAUUAAGUAACCUAUUUAAAUUCAUAUAAUAAACAAAUGGCAGAGCCAGGACUUGAAGCCAGGUUUUUAGGCUGCACAUCUCAGCUUUAACAAAUGACAGAACACCUGCUCUCACAUGUGGCUUUAUUUGUCACCUAACCACCCUCUUAGGCAGGUAGGCACUGGGGGCAGUGCUCAUGAGCUAGGCUUUUCAGCAAGAACCAGACAUGGAUAUGUAUUGGUUCUGUCACUUACCAGCCCUGUGACCUGGAGCUGGUUUUUUAACCUCUCUGGGCCCCACAAUUUUCACUGGUAGAUGGAGUAACAGUAGUGCUGACAUCCAGGGCUGUGGAUGAGGAUUGGGGAAGAUAUUUUGAUAUGAGUCUAGUGCUCAGCACACAAUGGCAGUGAUUAUAAUCACAAUAUGGUCAUUUUUCAGAUGAGAAAACUAGCUCAGAGAACAAAUGUGAUUUUCUAAAGAUUUGGGUUUCCUUGCUCCUAAUUCCUAGUUCCUGCCACCACUGAAAUCAGGACCGUAGAUGUUGCUCUCAGCAUGACCAUUAGUUUAGACAGCUGUAGGUAAUCAGAGCCAAGCAAUGCCCUCCCAAAUACAACAAUCACACACAGAAAAACAUGGAACCCUUCUGCAGAUGCCUUCCUUCACUAGCCCUAACCUCACUCUAGUGUCAUCUUUAUUUGGUUCAAGCCCUACCCAGUAUUUCUGUCUUCACCUGGAUUUAAAUGCUCCUGUGAUCACACAUAAGCUUUCAUGCAUCUAUGUCUCGUUUCUAUAAUCAUUACAGUGUAAGUGAACAUAUAAUAGCUGCUUCUUCAGACCACACUUCCUCUCGGCAGUGCCUACCACAAUCAUGGUAGGUAUUGACUCUAUGUCUAGUGGCCCCACCUUUCCUCUGUAGCCCAAGCCACAUAUCUUUGUUGCUUCCUUUUACUUCUUUGCUAGUCACAGUUUGUAGUUGCAGACAACAGAGUCCAUUUCCAUUUCUGAAAGAAAGAUUUUUCCUUCUUUUUUCUUCUUCUCUCUCUUUUCUUCUCACUCACAGAAUUAUUCGAAGGGUAGACAUCUGAGCUCUAGACUAAGCUCCCAGGUCCACAUGUAGAUUUGUCCCAUUCACGUCGAUGCAGUUGUCCCUGAGAUGAGAAACCACACAGCUUUUGCCGUCCCCUGUACCAGCAAAAUGGAUGCCCCCUGUCCAGCCUGUGUCCCUGCAUAGGUUACUUCUGGAUGGAAUUCUCAUACUGGUGCAUCUGGCUAGUUGAAUCAGGCACAUUUCUGCCCCCAAGCUGUGAGGGAGGCUGGGAAAUGUAGGUUUUGUUUCUGCUCUGGGAAGGCAAGGGUAACACUGAUGGAAACUAUCCACGAGUUAAUGGAGCAUUUAAAGUAUUUGGGGGACACAGAGCAAAGACAAGGUGUAUAAUCCAUCUUCAGCAUCCACAUGUAAUUGGUAAGCAAAUUUCAGCAGUUCUAAAUAUGAACACUUCUGGGAUUCAUCUACUUCUCUCUACCCCACUGCAGUCCUUUGGCUCAGUGCUUCUCACAUGGACAAUGGCAACAGCUUGUAAGUAGUCUCUCUGGCUCAGUCCCCUUUCUGCCCUAUCUCACGUAUGUUUUGUAGCCAGUGUUACUCCUUUGCUUAAAAUCCUCAAAGCUCCUGGUUGCUUUCAGAAGUGAGUUUAAACUUAUAAUUAUGGCUUUUAAAAUCCUUUGGAAUCUCAGGCCGGGGGUGGUGGCUCACGUCUGUAAUCCCAGCACUUUGGGAGGCUGAAGCGGGUGGAUCACC
rnacentral:lncRNA from 10 species